CACAGACACUUUGGAUAACUCUUACAGUGAAGGAAGACGGGAAUGUCAGGCCUCUGAGCCCAAGCCUGCACAUAUACAUCCAGAUGGCCUGAAGCAAGUGAAGAAUCACAAAAGAAGUGAAAAUGGCUGGUUCCUGCCUUAACUGAUGACAUUCCACCAUUGUGAUUUGUUCCUGCCCCACCUUAACUGAGUGAUUAACCUUGUGAAAUUCCUUUCCUGGCUCAGAAGCUCCCCCACUGAGCACCUUGUGACCCCCGCCCCUGCCCAUAAGAGAGCAAACCCCUUUGACUGUAAUUGUCCACUACCCACCCAAAUCCUGUAAAACAGCCCCACCCCUAUCUCCCUUCCCUGACUCUCUUUUUGGACUCAGCCCACCUGCAACCAGGUGAAAUAAACAGCCUUGUUG
rnacentral:lncRNA from 1 species